rnacentral:rRNA from 1 species
GACGAACGCUGGCGGCGUGCUUAACACAUGCAAGUCGAACGGAAAGGCCCCUUUGGGGGUCCUCGAGUGGCGAACGGGUGAGUAACACGUGAGUAACCUGCCCUUGACUUCGGGAUAACUUCAGGAAACUGGGGCUAAUACCGGAUAGGAAUCCUUGCUGCAUGGUGGGGGUUGGAAAGCUUCGGCGGUUUUGGAUGGACUCGCGGCUUAUCAGCUUGUUGGUGGGGUAGUGGCUUACCAAGGCUUUGACGGGUAGCCGGCCUGAGAGGGCGACCGGCCACAUUGGGACUGAGAUACGGCCCAGACUCCUACGGGAGGCAGCAGUGGGGAAGAUUGCACAAUGGGCGGAAGCCUGAUGCAGCAACGCCGCGUGCGGGAUGACGGCCUUCGGGUUGUAAACCGCUUUCAGCAGGGGCGAAGCUUGUGGUGACGGUACCUGCAGAAGAAGCACCGGCUAACUACGUG